UACAGAGGGUGCAAGCGUUAAUCGGAUUUACUGGGCGUAAAGCGCGCGUAGGCGGACCUGCAAGUCGGGGGUGAAAGCCCGAGGCUCAACCUCGGAACUGCCUUCGAUACUGCGGGUCUCGAGUCCGGGAGAGGUGAGUGGAAUUCCUAGUGUAGAGGUGAAAUUCGUAGAUAUUAGGAAGAACACCAGUGGCGAAGGCGGCUCACUGGCCCGGUACUGACGCUGAGGCGCGAAAGCGUGGGGAGCAAACAGG
rnacentral:rRNA from 1 species